rnacentral:lncRNA from 1 species
GUGGGCUUGUGUUGUUAGAUCUAACUUUCAGAAGAGUAAUGUCCAAAUAUUUAUUAAAAUCUGUUUGCUUUUAUAUUCCCCAUAUUGUUUGACAGUGAUAUCCAUGACUCUUCAGAACUCCACUACACAACCAAGAAAGAACAACCUGUGCCAAAGGAGAAGCGUUAUGUGCAGAAGCAUCUGUUCAGUGACACAGAUACAGAUUAUGCCAUGACUGAGGUCAGCUGGCUGAGGGACUCGAGCCGAAAACCCAAACCCAAAGUGACCAAAUACCCCAGGCAGGCAACUAUGAAGCCUAAAGCUGCAUCACCUCCUACUUCACAUGAAUCCUCAGAUUUACCCCCACCCUCUCCAAAACCGGUCAAAGGAAAUACCAAGCCCAAUAAGAAGAAACUGAGUGUGAAGGAAAGAGUGGAGCAGCCAAAGAAGAUGGUGAAGCCAGCAUCAGCACCCACUGAACCACGGGCACCAGGCAGGAGGCCCAAGAGAGCUGCAGCCAUCACUGCCAAGAGCUACAGGGAGCCAGAAACUGAGAGCAGCGAGUCAGAAUCAGAGAAGCUUCCUGUUCCCAAGUGCUCCUCAGCUGAUCAUCUGGAUAAUGAGAAAAAACAGGAAACUGCUCAAAUGAUGACGAAAACGACAGCCAACCCACAACUGACCAAAAGCUGUAUGGAACUAGAGGGUGACCAUCAGAGCAGCCAGUCAGAGUCAGAGUCUGUGUCAGAGCAACCAUCCAUUUUCAAGAAAUGUUUUAAAGGCCAGAAGAGCAGUUUAGAGGUUCCAGAGGUAAAGAAGAAGAAAAACACCUCCUCUGAUAAAUCCACAGAUACUUACAGGAAACUGGACAACAACAACCAGUCAAACCUAAAUAAGGCAUCUGGUCUAAAGGAGCAGAGACCUGACAGUGUUCUUCAAGAAACUUUGAAGUUAAAUAAGAACAAUGUCCUUGCACAGGAAAAGAUGAAUGCAUUGAAGGAUUCAUGGGCAGCCCAGCAAACCCCGUCCUAUCCAUCUACUUCUUCCAUUGAGAGGAUGAGAUCUGCUGAGAGGUCAGCCCCGACCUUGGGUUUGACUGGCACCCCUCUGCUCACCCCGUGGGGAUCUCCACUCCCUGCCUCCCCUGACCCUGCCCGCCAGGACACCCCCUCGCCAGUCCUGCUGCUACCCAAACCUCUUUCUGCAGUCGGCAGUAAAAGAAAUGUAAAGCCGUCCUCCUGCAACAGUGCAGAAAAGAAGUGCAGCGCAUCCAAGAAUCAAUGCAUCCCCUCUCUCCUUUCACUGGGAGGCCAAACCUCAGCACCUGAGCGUCCUGUCGGGCCUGAUGCAGCUGAGCCCCUGUUGACAUUCACACUGCUUGAGUUGGAAAGGCCAUCCAUGCCGUCUCCUCCUCAGUCACCAUAUCCUGAAGACACUGUCGACCCUGGCCACCAUUAUGGUCUGGGUAAAGUGUCCCAGGUUUCUCUGAGCCAGUUAUCCAGUAAGUCAUCAGUACUGACUAGCAGCGUUAAGGACAGCCCCUCCUCUGCCCUGGCUGUCUCUCACAAAACUGAGGUAGGGACAGCUUGA